CAGAAAUUCAUUCUGUGUUGUACAGGUAGUCUGUGUACGAAAUAAUGUGUUCAAAUUAUUUUGCUCAUUUUAAACCGUGUUCUCAUGGUGACGAGUGUUCUCAGUGUCCCGGUCCCUCAACUAGGACAACUGGCGUCAAUGACAUACAACAACCAUCUGGAUCCGAGGUUGAUGUGGAACUUAACAUCAUCACACCACCACUCCCUCAGCCUCCUGCAACGUUCGAUCCGAUGAGUAUUAUUACUCAAAAUGUCAUUGACGCACUGGCAGAGCCGUGGGUUGAAGAGAGGAGGCAGGGUGAAGAGAUGGAUGUUGAAAAUGACAUCAUUCAACCCUCUCAAUUGUCACCCAUUCUAGGGCAAAUAAAUAAUAGAGUUGAGAAUAGGGUGGAGGGUGGAGACGUUGAUGUCGAAAACGAAGACAAUGACGACGACGACAACAUCAUUCCACCCACUCCCCCUCACUCACGAUCAA